rnacentral:piRNA from 1 species
UGGGAACCUCGUGUUCUUCUCGGUGGU